GGCAGAUAUGGAGAGGGGCGGGCCUACGGCCAUGCAGGGGGCGGUGCCGUGGCGGAGACGGUGGUGGUGGUGGGGAGUCAAGUCCACGAAGAGGCGGGUUGUCCAGGCAAGUGAAGACUGGGCGCUUUCUGCGGCUUCUCUGGCGUCCCACGGGGGCAAUAGUCCGUGCCCGUAGGGGUCUGGAAGAACUGUUCGAGCAGCGAGGAGUCCCCUAGGCGCACGUGACUCUUCAAUUUCUCAGACUGCAAGAGAGGGAACACAAGCAGAGGGAGUGGGAGAAGGAGAAGCAGGCUUCCCA